UUCUCACUCUGUUCUGUAUAUCCGACGUGGGAUGGGGCCGUGGGUGACAAAGCUGCCAGCUGGCACUUGUCCCUGUCUCAGUGGUUUGGUUCUGCAGGUGCCCUGAAGUGGGUCUCUUCUUGCCCUGUGGUUGCGGCUUCUUCCUGGGCACUAAAGUGCUCCCUGCUCAGUGUGCUUCUGGCCUGACCCCAAUCCCCAAUGUUCCCAUAGGUCCUAGUGUGUCUUCCUGUGCCAAGCUAGGUUAGACAAAGGACUCACUGUGACUUUUUCUGGAUUUUCCCAUCAGGAUUCAGUCUGGUGCCUUUUCUAGAUGUGUUAGGAAAAGCCUGUGGAGAACUCACUGCAUUGCUUCCUAUUACUCUACUUCUAACAACAUAGUAAAGACAAACAGCUUUGAAAGAUUUACAUCAAAUCAACAAGCAUUUAUUAAGCACUUAUUAUGUGCCAGGCACUUAAGAACACUGCUGAUCAAUGCGAUGACCAACUACAAUUCUAGAGGACAAAUGAGGAAGCAUUCUACUCACCUCCUGAUACAGGAAUGAUGGACUGAAGAUGCAGAAAGGGACAUGGCCAAUAACCAGUAAGUAUGAGUGACAAGUUUGGAAUGCAAGCCAGCUCAUCCAAAGCCCAGCAUUCUUUUCACUACUCCAUGCUGUUUCUCAACGGCAAGAGUCCAUGCCUUAAGGAGCUGGCAUUUUAUUGGGGAGGAGGGGAGGAAACACAACACCUAUACAGGCGGAGGAAUGAGAAGAAAGAAAGAAAAGAAAAACUCAAGAACUCUGUUCAAAGCAAUGACCGACUACAUAAAGUUCCAGAAAACUCAUGAAAAAAACAUAUUGCCUAUCUCCUGACACAGAUGUGAUGGAUUCAAAUUGAUACAUAUUUUUUGAGCAUGGCCAAUGUGGGAAUUUGCUUUACUUGACUUAUUUACAUUUAAUUUACUAUUUUUUUUUGUUU